UCUCAUCACAACAAAUGUACAGUGGAAUCACAUUCUUCAGACAGAAUCCUGAUCUGGAGAUGAAAGUAUUCACCUGAAACUAUUUUUACCUUAAAUUGCAAAAGAAGGUAAAGCUUUUAAAUCUGACUUGUUAAACCUGAACCUUUUGAUUCCGGUGCUUCACCCGCUACCAGCAGCUUAUCAGCGCAGGUCACCAUGGUGAGCCCCAUCUCUCCCCAAACCAGAGAGCCUGCCAGGGCUUUCAGGAAGCUCAAGGGAGCGGCCAUGUUGGCUUCCAGGAUAUCUGAAUGGUUGACAGGCGAACGGGCCAGUUUGGGUACGGAUCCAUGCAGGGGGCCAGCGCUGCCAUGGUGACGAUGCUGGCCUCCCCACAGAGUCCCGUCUCCACCAGCUGAGGAGGGAGCAGCAACGGGACCUCCGCCCCCACUACUGCAUGCAUCUGACCACAGGGAGCUAGACCACCCACUGAGAAAGGACAACUUAAGAGGGAGCAAGAGAAAGAGAGGAGAGGAAUACACAGAAUCAGACAAUAAUAAAGAAAGUGAGAUAGAGAUGAGAUACACACAGAGAGAUAGAUAGAUAAUAGAUGGAGCGAGAGAGAUGAUAUUACAAGGACAUUUAUGCUUCGGGAACAUGUUUGUAAAGGUGAGGUAAGUUCACGCCCACCUACAGUUGAUAACAGGUGCUGUCCAUGAUAAUGCUUCGAUUGUUUAGCAACAGCUUGCUGUUCACAUCAUCACUGUUCACAUCAACAGACAGGAAAAUACACUGAACAAAUACAAAUACAGUACAGGUGUUGAACUGUUCAUUUGCAAAUGUCACUCAUUAAAAAAAAAUCAAAAAUC